GAUAUCACUUAUUCGAAUAGGUGAUAUCACCUAUUCAGCACGAAUAGGUGAUAUCACUUAUUCGAAUAGGUAAUAUCACCUAUUCAAAUUAUUUAUGAAAUAACAACAGCUCCCUAGGUCCCUCAAUGUACUUUCACUUUCGUUUUCGUCACGUGACUUGCGACUUCCGUGUAUGGAGUUGUGUUUUGAGUUAAGCAUGUUUUUGGUUUAUACACAGCUUUCGAGGAAAAGUUAAGUAGUUUUACAAAGCAGAAGGGUUCUCCGACUUACGAUGGAUGAAUUGCGUGUCAUAAAAGCUUGGGUGCGAGUGUCCACGAGGAAAAUUUCGAUCAAAGUACAGGUUUUUCCUUAAUCCGAGGACGGCUGAUGUUAUUGUCAGCUGAUUAUAUUUAUAGAGGAGGAAUUUUGUCUGUGCCUGAUGGAAGUCCAAGAGAACCGGGCUGAGUAAGACAGAUGCGAGAUGCAGCUGCUUUAAGCAGUACCUAAGACUAAACUGACUUUGAUCAAGAUUCUUCAAAAUGCAAAUCAAAUACAGGUUAUUGUCUGCACAUCUUGCAAUGGAUUGUUUUGAUUGAGAACUUAUCCAGCAUGAAGACCAGCCAUGUACCUCACCUUUCAGGACAUUAUUAAAGUACUUUGUGACAGUGGGAAGAUGAAAUUAAACAUGACAUGGCUCUAUAUCACUGCAUCAUGUCAAUCCAGGUUUACUUAUAAACGGAAUGAAAACAGUCAAGCAUCAUUUGGAAUUGGAGCUACAUAUGUCACCGCCUUAACAAUAUGCCUGCUUACAUAACCAAGAAAGCACAGUGACCAUGCAGUUGUACCUAUGAUGUAGGACGAGAUCCUGAGAAAACUUUCAGUGCACUCAUCACUACCUGCAAAGAAAUUAAAAUUUUAAAUGACUUGUAUUAACCCUUUUGUAUUUCAUCUGGCUUGUAUUUUAGUACUCAUAGCCUUUAGCUUCCUUCAAACAAAAUUUCACCAGUACCAACU